GGGAGCGACCUUUUCCACUACAGUGGCCAUGGCAGUGGUAUACUUUUUUGUGGGCCGCUGUAGAUUGGUGGCGAGGACAGAUAAAAAAACCACAGGUUUUUUUGUUUUCUUACAAAGUUGAUUUUGGAGAAAGUUAGCUAAAACUCGACUGCGGGCCUGGGCGGGGCGGUCUGGUGUUGGAGAUUAUGGCAGGGCCGCAUUUUGCAGAAUGUUGUUAGCUGAGACUCAUGGACCGCUCUUUUUUUCCGGCAGUGCCACCACUGCAGGAGUCUGGUGUCUGCAGAAACCGGCAUCCUAUUUCCCGAGUCCCCAUGAGGAGUCCGAACACCUGAAAAGUUGGAUGGCGGACUCAGUACACAGUAUUGGAGACGGGAGCUGCAUCCCAUCGUGAAGUCGGUUGUAUAUUGGCAGAAGAAACCAGCAGCUUUGUAUUGCAGCCUGGAGUGUUGGCCUUGGAGCAGGGUUUGGGCGUAUUUCUGGAGUGCAGAUUUAGAGCUGGCAGCAGCACAGCCCAGGAGGAGGCUAAGGACCGGAAGCUGCCAUUCAUUCAGUUUGAGAACCUAAAUGACAUUAGCAUUUGGUACAGAAGAAACAAGUUGGGCAUGAUGGCACAGGAUGUAAUCUCAGCAAAAGUUGAAAUCCCAGAAGAAAGAAGCUUAACCCCCGGUAUCAGAGGCCUUUCUUCUCAGCAGAACUGUUGUAUCUGGCAACUUUCUAAGACAGGCACAUUUAGUGUGGUUCACUAACCUGAACAAUAAACAGGAGCUCCUGUGUCUUCA